rnacentral:misc_RNA from 1 species
GGGUAUCCGAAAGUUCAUAUGCAAGUUUUGUGGCUUGAAGUUUGAUUUGCUACCUGACCUUGGCCGGCACCAUCAGGCUGCUCAUAUGGGACCGAAUCUAUUCAGCUCUCGGCACCCAAAAAGGGGGGUUCGUUAUUAUGCUUACAGAUUAAAAUCUGGAAGACUUAGCCGUCCUAGAUUUAAGAAAGUUUUGGGAGCUGCAACAUAUAGGAUCAGGAACAGGGGAAGUGCUAGUAUGAAGAAACGUAUCCAGGCAUCAAAGUCGCUCAACAUUGGGGGAUUAAGUGUACAGUCUCAGGUAACUGAUCUUGCAACUCUUGGUAGAUUGGCAGAAUUUCAAUGCUCAGCAGUUGCAAACAUAUUGUUUUCUGAGAUUGAGAAAACUAAACCUCGUCCCAAUAACCUUGACAUAUUAGCUGCUGCACGCUCUGCUUGUUGUAAGGUGAGCCUAAAGGCCUCACUGGAGGGGAAAUAUGGAGUUUUGCCAGAACGUUUGUAUCUCAAGGCAGCCAAACUUUGCAGCGAGCAUAAUAUUAGAGUGAAGUGGCACCAAGAGGGGUUUAUUUGCCCUAGAGGAUGCAAGAGUUUUAAGGACCCAGGAUUACUGCCACCCUUGAUGCCUCUUCAUAAUGGUUUUGUAGGUAAACAGUCAGCACAUUCAUCUGACCAUAUGAGCAAUGCGUGGGAAGUGGAUGAAUGCCACUAUGUAAUUGAUUUGUGUGAUUUUAGUGAGAUUCCUAGACAAAAGUCCACUGUCUUGUGCAAUGAUAUAAGCUUUGGGAAGGAAUUGAUUCCAAUAGCUUGUGUAAUAGAUGAGGACGUCCUAGCAUCUCUUAAUGUCUUUGCAGAUUGUUCUAACGGUCAAACUACUAAGUUCCCCAUGCCUUGGAAAAGCUUUACCUAUAUCACAAGACCAUUGCAUGAUCAAUCUCACAAUCAUGUUAUUGAGAAUUUGCAAUUGGGGUGUGCUUGCCCUGAUUCAUUAUGCUCUCCUGAAACAUGUGAUCAUGUUUAUCUCUUUGAUACUGACUAUGAGGAUGCAAGAGAUAUAUAUGGGAAAUUUAUGCAUGGCAGGUUCCCAUAUGAUGAUAAAGGGCGGAUUAUAUUGGAGGAGGGUUACCUUGUUUAUGAGUGCAAUCACAUGUGCAGGUGCAGCAAAACCUGCCCAAAUAGGGUUUUGCAGAACGGAAUACGAGUAAAGCUGGAAAUCUUUAAAACAAAGAAUAAGGGAUGGGCAGUCAGGACAGGUGAACCAAUCCUACGUGGCACAUUUGUGUGUGAAUAUAUUGGGGAGGUUUUAGAUGAGCAGGAGGCAAAUGAAAGGCGGGGCAGAUAUGGUGAACAAGGUUGCAGCUAUAUGUACAACAUUGAUGCUCGUACCAAUGAUAUGAGUAGAUUGAUUGAAGGACAGGUGAAAUAUGUGAUUGAUGCCACCAAGUAUGGGAAUGUUUCAAGGUUCAUCAAUCAUAGCUGCUUGCCAAAUCUUGUGAACCACCAAGUUCUUGUCAAUAGCAUGGAUUCUCAGCGUGCUCAUAUUGGUCUGUAUGCAAGUCGAGAUAUAGCUUCUGGCGAAGAACUAACGUACAAUUAUCAGUAUGAUCUGCUGCCUGGAGAAGGAUAUCCUUGCCAUUGUGAAACUUCCAAGUGCAGAGGGCGCCUUUGCUAAAUCUUAAUGAACGUUGGUUCCUGUGGUCUGGUCUGCGAAUAUUAAGGGAAAUGCGAGUUUUGAGCCCAUUUCACGCAAUUCAAAUUUGUCAGCAGACCAUAUCAUGAGUAGCUCAUUGAGUGGAUUAAAGCUAACAUCAACUUGGUCAAGUCCCUGUGGCCAUGGUACCAGGCCUCCAGCAUUUCUGCAAGGAAAUUUCGGCAAUCCCACCAAGUUGUUUGUGUCUAUUCACAUUUAUACACGUUAUUCGAGACAGGAAACAUCAUUUUCUUUUUGGCAUCUCCUUUUCAACAGCAGCGAACACUGAUGCCACCCUGCCUUAGCUUCUAGUGUAGAUGGUCAUUUUUCUGUUUGAAGUUCUUAGGUGUCAUGUUUGUUCUUAGGUGUCAUGUUUGUGGGUAUUCUUUUCCUGGGAAUGCAUAAGUGGCCUGUUUCAAAUAAUUUUUGGCCGCCAUGUGUAUGCUUAUUACCCACUAUUGACAUGUAAAUAUUUGAACAAACAAGCUUGCUUUUUGGUUAUGGAAGAUGAUGCACAUAUUUUCUGGGAAAAAAAAGCAAGCUUGUUUGUUCAAAUAUUU